AGCGAACGCUGGCGGCAGGCUUAACACAUGCAAGUCGAGCGGGCACUUCGGUGUCAGCGGCAGACGGGUGAGUAACACGUGGGAACGUACCCUUUGGUUCGGAAUAACGCUGGGAAACUAGCGCUAAUACCGGAUACGCCCUUUUGGGGAAAGGCUUGCUGCCGAAGGAUCGGCCCGCGUCUGAUUAGCUAGUUGGUGGGGUAAUGGCCUACCAAGGCGACGAUCAGUAGCUGGUCUGAGAGGAUGAUCAGCCACACUGGGACUGAGACACGGCCCAGACUCCUACGGGAGGCAGCAGUGGGGAAUAUUGGACAAUGGGCGCAAGCCUGAUCCAGCCAUGCCGCGUGAGUGAUGAGGGCCUUAGGGUUGUAAAGCUCUUUUGUCCGGGACGAUAAUGACGGUACCGGAAGAAUAAGCCCCGGCUAACUUCGUG
rnacentral:rRNA from 1 species